AUGUCGGCGGCUUGGAGAAUUGCGGACGAACCACAAAGUUUCUUGUCACAGGUACUUAAAUCUAAAUAUUUUCCUGAGACUUCUAUUUGGAGAGCAAAAAGCAACAUUCCAAAAUCAGGUUUUUGGGGUUCAAUUCUUAAGGUCGACACAUUCUUCAAGCAAGUUCAAUCUAUUAAAUUCUUGAUGGCAAUUCCUCCAUUUGGAGCACUCCUUGGUUUCCUCACUGGCAAUCUAUAUAUGAGCACUUAA
rnacentral:rRNA from 1 species